UACGGAGGGUGCAAGCGUUAUCCGGAUUCACUGGGUUUAAAGGGUGCGUAGGUGGGAAUGUAAGUCAGUGGUGAAAUCUCCGUGCUUAACAUGGAAACUGCCAUUGAUACUAUGUUUCUUGAAUCUUCUGGAGGUCAGCGGAAUAUGUCAUGUAGCGGUGAAAUGCUUAGAUAUGACAUAGAACACCAAUUGCGAAGGCAGCUGACUACAGGGGCAUUGACACUGAGGCACGAAAGCGUGGGGAUCAAACAGG
rnacentral:misc_RNA from 1 species